rnacentral:snRNA from 1 species
GGAUGUGAGGGCGAUCUGGCUGCGGCAUCUGUCACCCCAUUGAUCUCCAGGGUUGAUUCGGCUGAUCUGGCUGGCUAGGCGGGAGUCCCCUUCCUCCCUCACUGCUCCAUGUGCGUCCCUCCCGAAGCUGUAUGCUCUGUCGAAGGACGACCUUAGAGGAGGACCCCUCUUCGGUUCGGUCAAGGGUAUCCGAGUAGCUGCGCUCCCCUGCUAGAACCUCCAAACAAGCUCUCAAAGAAGAUACACCAAUGGCCAACAAGCACAAGAAAAGAUGCUGAACCCAACAAAUCAUUA